UCCUCCGUGGCGCAAUUGGCUAGCGCGUCUGACUGUUACCAACAGUGUGUUAUCCGUUAAUCCGCUUGAUGAUUGCAUAUCAGGAGGUUGAAAGUUCGAGCCUUUCCGGGGGAG